UGUUAGGAUAUUUCCGUUCCACCUUAAAAGGGAGCAGGCUGUGAGUCACAGAGUCUGCGUAUUUCCUGUUCACAGGAUGUUUAUGUUUUAUGUUGCUUUCGUUUUCUCUCUCUGUGUCGUAGACACUAAAGCAGGCAGUCAUGUUUUUCUGUGUUCUGAUCAACGCUGAAUAAACUUGUAAAUAAUGCUCUCCUGAGUGCAACUUUUGGCCAUGCAUUAUCUGCUGAUAGAGUGUGCAUGAGCUCUGGAAUGUGGCAAGAUAUUUUCUAGAAACUCAUGUCGCUGCGUGCCUACGGGAGGUCGAUGGAUCGUCCGGCAGACGGCUUGGGGGCCUUGAUGGACUUUAUCUCCCUGGCAGUAUCCCAACAACAGGUUAUGGGCCCAGAUUCACAGCACUUACAGGAGAGUAAGACUGCGACGGACUGCUGAAAGGUAUGUGGAAGAAAAGCGAAAGUGAGGCUUUUCUGUUUGCCGCGGCAAGAGCUUUUGAUGUCCUGCAGGCCUAAUUGGUCUGGGCAUCGAGCCCAGCAGGCCUCAAGAUUUAUGGCUGCCGAGAUAAGACGUUUUUGAAGGCAUAAAGGCUCACGGCUCAAGUAGAAACCUGGAAUGGAGUUUUUCCAAGCUUCUGAGGCUGCUGAGUGCCCAAAGCUAAAUCGGCACAAUUAUGGGACCUGGGCUGUGUGGUGUGAGAGCUUGCUGCGUCAGUUUGGAGUGUGGCAUACUGUGUGCGAGGCCCCUCCAGUUCCUCUGACAGAUAGAUGGAAGGCCGAAAAUUCGAAGGCGAUAGACGUAAUAGUCUUGUCCGUCUCUCUGGAGGAAAUAAAAACGCUUGCUGGCAACACCACUGCACGUAAGAUGUGGCAUGCUUUGAAGACAGCCCAUUUGCCAGUCAUCCCAGCCCAGAGUUUGACUGCAUCGGAGGUCCUGGCUGUUUCCCAGAAUGCGAGUGAAUGCAGGGAUGCUGAGGGCACCGGUUGCAAGCUGCAGUGGGAGCUGACUGUCACGUCAUCCCAGGCAGCAUUCCAGCCUCCAGGGGAGCCAAGGAGUCGGCAGCUGAGAGCUCUGUUUCUCAUGGGAGCCAAGGUCAUCGCCUUUGCAGAGGCCGGAAGGGCAAAGGUAAACAGAGGCAGACGCCUGCAGAUGGCCAGAAGCAGAGGGAGGGUGAAGAGCCCACACCAGAGAAAAACAAGGCAUUGUUUGCUGGCACAGCUUCACCAAAGGCUAAAGGCAAGUCUGAUGGCCAGGAGCAGGGGGGCAAGCUGCAAAAGCCCACGCCAGUGGAAAACAAGGUUUUGUUUGCUGGCACAGCUUCACCAAAGGCUAAAGGCAAGUCUGAUGGCCAGGAGCAGGGGGCAAGCUGCAAAAGCCCACGCCAGUCGAAAACAAGGUUUUGUUUGCUGGCACAGCUUCACCAAAGGCUAAAGGCAAGUCUGAUGGCCAGGAGCAGGGGGGCAAGCUGCAAAAGCCCACGCCGGUGGAAAACAAGGUUUUGCUUGCCAGAAAGACUGCUCCAGAUGCCAAAGCCAGGUUUGUUGUUGAUUCAGGCUGUACCCGCCAUGUCUCAAAAGACCGCCAUCUCUUUAUCUCCUUCAAACCUCAAGAAGGUGAGAUCCACCUGGCUGACGGAAAGACGUUGCGAAUCGCAGGAGAAGGGACUUUGAAACUGGCAAGUCUGCACACAACCAUCAAAGAUGUACUGUAUGUUCCAGGCGCUGCAGACAAUUUGCUCAGUGUCCCACAGCUGACUGGGCGUGGUUUUGAGAUUUCCUUCAAGAGGAGCGUCUGUGUCAUCAGAAAAGGCAAAGAGGACAUUUUGCAUGCAAAGUUUAUGGAUGGCUUGUUCUGUAUAACUUAUGAUGACAUUGGUGCUGUUGUGUCUAAUGUUGAUUCUUGUUGUGUUGCACAAACUAACAAAGUUCUUCAUGCAGGAUGCAUUCACGAUGCACACAGAAGGUUUUGUCAUCUCUCUUGGAAGGCACUGGCCAAGAUGCCAGAGAUGGUUGAGGGUUUGAACAUCAAACCCUGUAAGUUUCGCAUGAAAUGUGUAUCUUGUGCAGAGAACAAGGUGAAGGUUGCUCCAAAAGGCAAAGAGUCUAGCAGGCAGGCUUCCAAACCCUACCAGCUAGUGCACGCAGACCUGGUUGGUCCACUUGUGCCCUCUUUGGGUGGAGCAAGGUACUUCAUGGUUCUAAUUGACUCUUUUUCCAGGUACAUUCAUGUGUUUAUGCUCGAGCAGAAAUCGCAAGCGUUUCCUAAGUUCAAGGCAUUCUGUGCUUGGUUGGAGAAUGUUCACAGUAAACGCAUUGGUUGUUUGUUUACUGAUUGAGGCAGGGAGUUCACUUCUCAGCAGUUUGAAGCUUUCCUGACUGAGAAGGGAAUCCAGCAUGACUUGUCAACGCCUAGAUCGCCAUGGAUGAAUGGGCUUGCGGAGCGAGCAAAUCAAACGUUGCUGCAAGGAAUGAAAACAUUGUUGCAUGAUGCCAAUCUCCCUGAUAAGUUUUGGGGGGAGGCUCUGUCGAAUUUUGCUUACACUUAUAAUCGCAGAUUGUCAUCACCUUUUGAUUGUACUCCCUAUGAGAAGAUGUUUGGUAAGAAACCCAACAUCAAACACAUGAGAAUCUUUGGUUCUGACAUGUGGGUACACACCCCACAGAGCAACAAGCUUGGGAAGCAUGGGGCACAUGGUUUGUUCAUGGGGUACGAAAAAGGUGCAUACAGGGUGUGGAUGACCAACUCUAAGUCCAUUAAGUUCACAAAGAGUGUUGAGUACAAUCCUAAGUGGGGGGGAAAUGUGGGAAUUUUCCAGAGUUACCCAGAGGAGGAUGAAGGUGAUGUCAAAGAAGCAGCUAAAGCUGAGGAAGCUGCUGAGGAUGAUGAUGACGAUGAUGAUCAGAGUUCGGAUUCCAGUUCAGUGGGCGGCGCUGCUGCUGGUGUCAGUGACAGUGAUGACACAGCAGACUACAAGAGCGCAAAGGCCUCAGUCAGACCAUCUGAUGCGUCUGACAAUGAACUGGAAGAACCACUGUUCACCAUUGGUCACUUUUCUCCUAAGAAGGAGGAGAUGAGUCCAGAAGACUUGCGUCUAGUACGCAGAUCUGAAAGAGCCACAAAGGGCAAACCUCCAAAGAGAUUUGCUGAUGAGUUUGCUAAGACAGCAACUGCUGUUCUUAGUAGCUCAGAGAAGGUGUGGGAACCUUCAAGCUUCAAAGAGGUUCAGGAGUUAACCUCUAAAGAUGCUGAGCCUUGGCUUAAUGCCAUGAAGGCUGAAGUUGAUUCCUUGAAUAGGAACCAAACUUGGGAACUGGUACCGGUAGUCCCAGGAAUGAGACUGGUUGGCAGCAAAUGGGUCUUCAAGGCCAAGACAGACCAGAAUGGCAAGGUUGUCAGACACAAAGCCAGAUUGGUUGCCAGAGGUUUUUCACAGGUACCAGGACAGGAUUACCACGAGACCUAUUCACCCACAGUCAAAUAUGAAAGCAUUCGGCUGAUGCUCAAGAUAGCUGCAGAGGAGAAACUGCAUGUUUCCCAUCAUGACAUUAAUACAGCUUUUUGUACGGGAUUCUGGGGGAGGAGCUGUUUAUGCUUCCACCUGACGGGAUGCAGAUACAGAAGGGAAUGGUCUGUAAACUGCGGAAAUCCUUAUAUGGUCUCAAGCAGAGUGCCAGGUGUUGGAACACAAAGCUCACUGAGACAUUGCUUUCUCUAGGUUUUCACCAGGGCAAAGCUGAUCCAUGUGUGUUUGUCAAGGAGGAGGGGCAAAACAAACUGUAUUGUUUAUGUUUUGUUGAUGAUCUUCUGAUGUUUUGGAAGAAUCAGGCUUUCUACCAAAGCACCCUAGCUCAGCUGAAGGAGCACUUUGACAUGAAGGAUCUUGGUGAGGUAUCCAACUAUCUUUCUCUGCAGGUGGAGAGGGACCAAGCAGGUAAUUUUCUGGUACACCAAACACAGAAAAUUGCUGAUGUAUUAACCAGGUUGAAUUUGGUUGAUGCAAACCCAGCAGACACACCGAUUGUGACAGGUUACCAGGUAGAUAGUACUGCUGAAGCGUUUUCUGACACAACGCUGUACAGAUGCAUUCUAGGCAAGUUGAAUUUCAUUGCUAGAUGCUCAAGACCUGACAUAGCUGUAAGCUGUAACCUGCUUAGCAGACAUGCUAAAAAUCCUACUGUUCAGGAUUGGAAAGCUCUGAAGCGCAUAGCCCGCUAUUUGAAAGGGACUAUGCACUACAGGCUGAGGUUCACCAGUCAGAAGACUGGAGGUCUUGAAAUCUUUGCAGAUGCAAGUUUUGGAAAUGACACCACGGAUGGUACAAGCACUUCUGGAGUAUGCUACAUGUACAACCACUGUCUGUUUGACUGGUUGUGCAAGAAGCAGACGACAGUGAGCAUAAGUUCCUGUGAAGCAGAACUCAAUGCUCUGUCAUUUUCACUCAUGGAUUGUGAAUGGUUGAUGCAACUGUUUAAGGACAUCAGAGUUUCUGUGAAAUGUCCUGUACAAGUGUAUCAAGACAAUAGAUCGUGUUUGGCUUUGCUGAACUCAGAGAGUUGCAAGCAAAGGACCAAGUACUUGCAGAUUAAGCUACAUCGUGCAAGAGAGUGUAUUCAGAAAGGACUCAUUCAGGUGUCCUACAUGCCAGGAAAUGAAAUUCCUGCUGAUCUGUUGUCUAAUGUUGUUAACAGAGAACAACUUAAGGUUUACGUACAAAGGUUGCAAUUGGGUUGAACCACAGGUACUACAGGUUACACGGAAAGGGGAGGAUGUUAGGAUAUUUCCGUUCCACCUUAAAAGGGAGCAGGCUGUGAGUCACAGAGUCUGCGUAUUUCCUGUUCACAGGAUGUUUAUGUUUUCUGCUGCUUUCGUUUUCUCUCUGUGUCGUAGACACUAAAGCAGGCAGUCAUGUUUUUCUGUGUUCUGAUCAACACUGAAUAAACUUGUAAAUAAUGCUCUCCUGA
rnacentral:lncRNA from 1 species